rnacentral:rRNA from 1 species
AGUGAACGCUGGCGGUAUGCCUAACACAUGCAAGUCGAACGGCAGCACAGUAAGAGCUUGCUCUUACGGGUGGCGAGUGGCGGACGUGUGAGGAAUACAUCGGAAUCUACUUUUUCGGGUGGGAUAACGUAGGUAAACUUACGCUAAUACCGCAUACGACCUACGGGUGAAAGCAGGGGAUCUUCUGACCUUGCGCGAUUGAAUGAGCCGAUGUCGGAUUAGCUAGUUGGCGGGGUAAAUGCCCACCAAGUCGACGAUCCGUAGCUGGUGUGAGAGGCUGAUCAGCCACACUGGAACUGAGACACGGUCCAGGCUCCUACGGGAGGCAGCAGUGGCGUAUAGUGGACAAUGGGCGCAAGCCUGAUACAGCCAUACCGCGUGGGUGAAGAAGGCGUUCGGGUUGUAAAGCCCUUUUGUUGGGAAAGAAAAGCAGCAGGUUAAUACCCAGCUGUUCUGACGGUAACCAAUGAAUAAGCACCGGCUAACUUCGUG